rnacentral:lncRNA from 1 species
GACGAUUGUAAACAAAUCCGUACGGGCUUCGACUCAACGAAAAACCCUCGACCUUUGACAAAUCGAAGAAGACGAAGCAACAACGAAACAAUAGCAACUGCUGCGACGAGCAACAGUCCGUCGAGAAGCAGCAGAAACAGACGUCCUGGCAGCAGCGCGACGGAGGAAGAAGAAACUGCAUGAAGCAGUCCGUCGAGAAGCAGCAGAAAUAGACGUCUUAGCAGCAGCGCGACGGAGGAAGAAGAAACUGCAUGAAGCAGUAGCAGCUGGGAGCCGAACGCAGCAGUAAUGAUGGAAACGGGCAGCAGUGGCGCGAGCAACAUCCAUGGCUGGAGCUCGGAUCUUCGACCACCCAAUUCGAAGUCGACGAAACAAAGAAGAUGAAACAGUAGCAGUAGCGCGAGUAGCAUCCAUGGCUGGACUGUUAGGACGUGAAGUUGAGGACUGAUUCUGCAGUGGAAAUGAUGAUGGUGAAAGGGAGUCGACGGACUGGUCGUCGAUGAUGAAGACACAGCAAUAGCGACCAUGGUUGUCGAGUUCGAGCUUGAAGGUGGUUAUGUGGUUUUAAUGGAUGACGGGGGGGUCGUUUGGACGCGAGGGUGUUUGUGUGG